AAGACUGUACUUUCAGGAAUCAGUUCUGUAGUUCCGUUACUAGAGAGGUUUCUCUGACUGUGUAGAGUAACCACGAGGAGGAGGCGCAGCUGGUCUCCUGAGCGUGAAGCCCGCUCUUGGAGUUGCUUUUUAUUGCUGGAGGGAAAAAAUGGCAUGACUAAAUGCCUUUAAUUCCAGCACUCGGGAGGCAGAGGUAGGGGAAUUGCUGUGAGU